AGAAGAGAGUGGCCCAUUCGGUGUCCACCCGUCAGGCCACCCAGCAGCCAGGCACGCUCAUAAGCCCGCGUUACGGAUGGUGCGGCCGGGUGCACAGGCCCGAGGGAAGCACAGGCCUCGGCCUCCCAGCUCCCAACCCCUGCACCACCCACAGCCGGGAGUACCCCAUGGACAGCUGUGGCCGAGGAGAAGCCAGGGAUGAGGGGGAUGGGCCUCACCUCCCCACCAGCCUGGGAAGGGGGUAGGCCCCUGGCAAGUAGGAGGGAAGCUGAGGCUCAGAGACAUCAUGAGGAUGCCAGCUCAAGGCCCAGCCAGGCCUUGGUCCUCAGCUGCUGUCAUCCAGUAGGCUCAAGCCCAGAGGCCUCCAGGGUGUCCAGCCUCCAGGGUGCCUCCUACGCAGCCUCCACGUCCCCAUCCACUGCAGCCCCUGACCAUCGGGCACACCGUGGGGCCUUCGCUGGCCGCCGGGCCUCAGGUUCUGCUGCACCAAGUGAUUUUUAAAGCCCCAUCUGCCUUUCUCCACUUAUAAAGAACUUGGGACAUUUC
rnacentral:lncRNA from 1 species